UCUGAACCCUUUCCUCCCCAGAGUGGCCUCCUUUAUACGGGGUGUUUUCUAAAGAGGGGAAGACCUCGGAAUGGUCUGGGGUAUCAUUUUCCACCUCUCUUGCAUGACCCACUCCGUAAGAUUUCUCAUGUAGUUGGUGAUCCCCAUUUCCCUCCCAGGACAGGACAGGAAGACAUGGUUUCUUCAGUGCACAGGAGCUGAGGCUGCUGCCUUUUCAAAGCCUGCAAUGAAGAGUUGAGUCCUUCAUCCAUCACACCAUUCUGACCUCUUCUGCCUUUUCUUCCACUUUUCUGGACCCUUGUGCUUACAUUGGGCCCACCUGGACAAUCCAACAUCAUCUCCCUAUUUUAAGCUCUGCUACUUAAAGUUCCUAGAUGCAAACAACAGAAGCUCUUCCAGCUAAUUUAGCAGAAAAGAAAUUUAUUAGAGCAUAUUGGGAAGCUCACAGAAUCUCCAAGAAGGCGCAAGCUCUCUCCCCUACUGGAGCACAGGUUGCAUGUUUAGCUCUGGAUCCUGAUGUCUGGCCCAGGGUCUGACAUAAUGUUUGAGACUAUUUGUUGAACAACAAAGAAGAAACAAAUACAGAUUCCUCUGUAUUUUAAGAAGUUUUUCAAAUCAAAAGCAAAAAGAAGACACCAACAGUCAACUGGGACCAGUGAUCUUUCUUCCUCUAGACGGGGAUUUGUUACAUAACUAAAUAAUUUGCAUGUGAACUCUCUUUCUUCUGGCCUGUUCUGUUUUUGCCCUUGUUGUAACAAUCAUGUGUCUCUCUUGUCUUGAACAUACACAUUUAUAGCAGAUUUUAAUUCAUAAGUUAAAGAGAAUUUUCUGACUGAUUACAUUUGGCACUGGUUCCUUCUUGACGAAUACAGAACACGUUCAGGACAAAAAGGGAGCUUUCUCCACGACUGGCUACAGGAAAAGCAACUUCUGGAAGGAUCUUCGACAGAAAGUAAUGAACAAAGGACUCUGCAUCUUCUACAGAAGUCUUGUCCAUAAGUUUGGGGACUCACUCCACAUUUGGUCCAGGAUCUACUGCUGUCCUGACUUGCUCAUGCCCCCAAAUGUCUCAGGGUCACUGACCCACUGAAGACUUCAUCAUGGUCCUUCCCUUAUGUGCCAAGGGCAGGAGCCACAGUGCCUGGAGCCCACCAUAUUUUUAGUGGUCCACAAAAAAGGUUUCAACUUUUUUUAAAAUCGAAAGGACAUGGGGCACCUGGGAGGCUCAGU